AUUUAUGUAGUAUAAAAAUUAUCCUUAACUUCCAAUUAAGAGAUCUACAAUGUAGUAUAAAUA
rnacentral:tRNA from 1 species